UACCGAAUUCCAAACUGGAGGAGAUUCAGCCCAACACAUUUACAAUGUUAAGUAAUUUACAAACUAUCGAUAUUCGAAGAAACAAUAUUCGCCAAAUUAAGGAGGACGUGUUUUUACUGAAUGGUUCUGUACCUUGUGUUAUAAAUUUUCAACAUGCAGGUAUUAUGGAAAUAGCUACAGGAAGC